UUUUCUCGUUGCAAAUCCAUUCCCAAUCAAGAAAUCAGCGCCUGCAUAGGAUGUAGUAUCAGGGCAAACAUCAGCCUUUAUUAAUCCAAGAUCUAUACACCAAAGAAUCCAAUAUGUGUACAGGUGUUGGCCGUCAAGCAGAGUUUAAGUUGGAUUAAACACAGAUCAACCUCACACCAGUGGUCACAGGAAUUGAGAUUAGAAAGUUACAGUAGGUGGGCAGAUUUAUUUGGAGCAGAUUCAUUGUAGCUUUAUUCCUGUUUGAGAGUCCAGCACAGGCAGCAGAGCCAACUGCAUAGCAGACAUCCAGGUUGAAUUUACUACAGUUAUGGGGGACAAGCAGCAAGAGGAUGCCAAGCAAAGCCAGCGAAGGCAGAUAAAGAAGUAGCAGGCAGCAUCUGAUUAAUCCAUGG